rnacentral:rRNA from 1 species
CGCGUAGGUGGUUCAGUCAGUCAGAUGUGAAAGCCCCGGGCUCAACCUGGGAAUUGCACCUGAUACUGCUGAGCUAGAGUACGGUAGAGGGUAGUGGAAUUUCCGGUGUAGCGGUGAAAUGCGUAGAGAUCGGAAAGAACACCAGUGGCGAAGGCGACUACCUGGACCGAUACUGACACUGAGGUGCGAAAGCGUGGGUAGCAAACA